rnacentral:rRNA from 1 species
GACGAACGCUGGCGGCGUGCUUAACACAUGCAAGUCGAACGGAAAGGCCCUGCUUUUGUGGGGUGCUCGAGUGGCGAACGGGUGAGUAACACGUGAGUAACCUGCCCUUGACUUUGGGAUAACUUCAGGAAACUGGGGCUAAUACCGGAUAGGAGCUCCUGCUGCAUGGUGGGGGUUGGAAAGUUUCGGCGGUUGGGGAUGGACUCGCGGCUUAUCAGCUUGUUGGUGGGGUAGUGGCUUACCAAGGCUUUGACGGGUAGCCGGCCUGAGAGGGUGACCGGCCACAUUGGGACUGAGAUACGGCCCAGACUCCUACGGGAGGCAGCAGUGGGGAAUAUUGCACAAUGAGCGGGAGCCUGAUGCAGCGACGCCGCGUGCGGGAUGACGGCCUUCGGGUUGUAAACCGCUUUCGCCUGUGACGAAGCGUGAGUGACGGUAAUGGGUAAAGAAGCACCGGCUAACUACGUG